ensembl:misc_RNA Metazoa_SRP Metazoan signal recognition particle RNA
GCUGGGCAUGGUGGCACAGGCCUGUAGUCCCAGCUACUUGUGGGGGCUGAGGCUGGAGGAUCGCUUGAGCCCAGGAGGUUGAGGCUGCAGUGAGCCGAGAUCGAGCCACUGCACUCUAGCCUGGGUAACAAAGUGAGACCUAGUUUCAA